rnacentral:rRNA from 1 species
UACGUAGGGGGCUAGCGUUGUCCGGAUUUAUUGGGCGUAAAGAGCGUGUAGGCGGUUUGGUAGGUCCGCUGUGAAAACUCGAGGCUCAACCUCGAGACGCCGGUGGAAACCAUCAGGCUAGAGUCCGGAAGAGGCGAGUGGAAUUCCUGGUGUAGCGGUGAAAUGCGCAGAUAUCAGGAGGAACACCAAUGGCGAAGGCAGCUCGCUGGGACGUGACUGACGCUGAGACGCGAAAGCGUGGGGAGCAAACAGG